GCUUUCAUGGUCUCUCUAUAUGGGCGAAAGUUGCGUGGUCAUGACGCAAUCGUUAGCCUAUUUCUACAAAAACAGCUGCUACUGGGCCAUAACGUGAGAUACAAGAUACAGUCUCAUACAGAGACACAAUUAAUGGGUCUUUUCUCAUCCAGUACAUUGUUGAUGUAUUCAACACCUUGGCACAUAAGGAACACAUUCAGGAUCUUUUCCUAAAAGUCACGGAAUGCUUUGAAAAGUAUUUCGUUGACGGCCAGAUGCCGAACAUAGACAGAGUCUCUUAACAAAGCACUUCUACUUCUUCCCGGGUCUCUAAGGGCAGGAUUCUCUGUUGUCUAACACAGAUUUGUAGCCACAUUUUAAAUUAUGUUGCAAUGUUUUUUGAAGUUAGCUACUUGGUAAAUUGAUCAAACUUUUGGAUGAAUCACUGAAAGGGCCUACCGGGCAGUGAACCAAGUGACAGAAAAAAGAGAUGCAAAUAGACACAAAUUGAGAACAAAGACCCAAUCUAGAACUACUCAAGAUCUACAAUGAUAAAGCUGCGUCAUUUUGUGUCUCUUUUAGUCUUGGUGUU